CCUACGGGAGGCAGCAGUGGGGGAUAUUGCACAAUGGGGGGAACCCUGAUGCAGCGACGCCGCGUGUGGGAAGACGGUCCUCUGGAUUGUAAACCACUGUCCCCAGGGACGAAAAUGACGGUACCUGGGGAGGAAGCUCCGGCUAACUACGUGCCAGCAGCCGCGGUAAUACGUAGGGAGCGAGCGUUGUCCGGAAUUACUGGGUGUAAAGGGAGCGUAGGCGGGGAUGCAAGUUGGGGGGAAAAACUACCGGCUCAACUGGUAGUCGCACUUAAAACUGGAGCUCUUGAGUGAAGUAGAGGCAGGCGGAAUUCCUAGUGUAGCGGUGAAAUGCGUAGAUAUUAGGAGGAACACCAGUGGCGAAGGCGGCCGGCUGGGCUUUUACUGACGCUGAGGCUCGAAAGUGUGGGGAGCAAACAGGAUUAGAUACCCCAGUAGUC
rnacentral:rRNA from 1 species